rnacentral:rRNA from 1 species
GACGAACGCUGGCGGCGUGCUUAACACAUGCAAGUCGAACGGAAAGGCCCUGCUUUUGUGGGGUGCUCGAGUGGCGAACGGGUGAGUAACACGUGAGUAACCUGCCCUUGACUUUGGGAUAACUUCAGGAAACUGGGGCUAAUACCGGAUAGGAGCUCCUGCUGCAUGGUGGGGGUUGGAAAGUUUCGGCGGUUGGGGAUGGACUCGCGGCUUAUCAGCUUGUUGGUGGGGUAGUGGCUUACCAAGGCUUUGACGGGUAGCCGGCCUGAGAGGGUGGACGGGCACCAUGGGACUGAGGUACGGCCCAGACUGCAACGGGAGGCAGCAGUGGGGAAUAUUGCACAAUGGGCGGAAGCCUGAUGCAGCAACGCCGCGUGCGGGAUGACGGCCUUCGGGUUGUAAACCGCUUUCGCCUGUGACGAAGCGUGAGUGACGGUAAUGGGUAAAGAAGCACCGGCUAACUACGUG